AGCAGCCGCGGUAAUUCCAGCUCCAAUAGCGUAUAUUAAAGUUGUUGCAGUUAAAAAGCUCGUAGUUGAAUUUCGGGACCAAUAUGUCGGUCGUGCCUCGGUACGUACUGGCAUCGUUGGUUUCUCCUUUCUGAAGAACCAUGAUGUCAUUUAUUUGGUGUCGUGGGGAAUCAGGACUGUUACUUUGAAAAAAUUAGAGUGUUUAAGGCAGGCUCACGCUUGAAUACAUUAGCAUGGAAUAAUGAAAUAGGACGUUUGAUUCUAUUUUGUUGGUUUCUAGGAUCGACGUAAUGAUUAAUAGGGAUAGUUGGGGGCAUUAGUAUUCAAUUGUCAGAGGUGAAAUUCUUGGAUUUAUUGAAGACCAACUACUGCGAAAGCAUUUGCCAAGGAUGUUUUCAUUAAUCAAGAACGAAAGUUAGGGGAUCGAAGACGAUCAGAUACCGUCGUAGUCUUAACCAUAAACUAUGCCGACUAGGGAUCGGAUGAUGUUAAUUUUUUAAUGACUCAUUCGGCGCCUUAC
rnacentral:rRNA from 1 species